GACGAACGCUGGCGGCGUGCUUAACACAUGCAAGUCGAACGCUGAAGCUUGGUGCUUGCCCUGGGUGGAUGAGUGGCGAACGGGUGAGUAAUACGUGAGUAACCUGCCCUUGACUCUGGGAUAAGCCUGGGAAACUGGGUCUAAUACUGGAUACGACAUGUCACCGCAUGGUGGUGUGUGGAAAGGGUUUUACUGGUUUUGGAUGGGCUCACGGCCUAUCAGCUUGUUGGUGGGGUAAUGGCUCACCAAGGCGACGACGGGUAGCCGGCCUGAGAGGGUGACCGGCCACACUGGGACUGAGACACGGCCCAGACUCCUACGGGAGGCAGCAGUGGGGAAUAUUGCACAAUGGGCGGAAGCCUGAUGCAGCGACGCCGCGUGAGGGAUGACGGCCUUCGGGUUGUAAACCCCUUUCAGCACGGAAGAAGCGAAAGUGACGGUACGUGCAGAAGAAGCGCCGGCUAACUACGUG
rnacentral:rRNA from 1 species